rnacentral:rRNA from 1 species
UGGGGAAUAUUGCGCAAUGGGCGAAAGCCUGACGCAGCAACGCCGCGUGAGGGAUGACGGCCUUCGGGUUGUAAACCUCUUUCAGCAGGGAAGAAGCGAAAGUGACGGUACCUGCAGAAGAAGCACCGGCUAACUACGUGCCAGCAGCCGCGGUAAUACGUAGGGUGCAAGCGUUGUCCGGAUUUAUUGGGCGUAAAGAGCUCGUAGGCGGUUAGUCACGUCGGAUGUGAAAACCCGGAGCUUAACUCCGGGCCUGCAUUCGAUACGGGCUGACUAGAGUGUUGUAGGGGAGACUGGAACUCCUGGUGUAGCGGUGAAAUGCGCAGAUAUCAGGAAGAACACCGGUGGCGAAGGCGGGUCUCUGGGCAACUACUGACGCUGAGGAGCGAAAGCGUGGGGAGCAAACAGG